UAAGGGGUGGAGUUUUGGGAACAUGGUUUUAAAAAAAUAAAAAAAAAUUAAAAUUAAAAUUUUCAAAAUAAAAAGGGCUAUUUUGGUUAUUUUCGUUCUUGAGGUCUAUUUUUGUGACAAAACCUUAAAAACAAUUAUUUGAGAGAAUUGCCCAGAGUUUAUCCUAUAUUAAUAAAUUUAUUUUUGUAUAAAAAUAUUAUAUAGUGUACGAAUUUAAUCCAAUUUAAUGAUGAAUAAUAAUUUAUUUAAAUGAAACAAUUUUAAUGGUUUUUGUUAAUUUACCUAUUUAAUAUAGUUUUAUCAUAUUAGUUCAAAUAGCAGUUCUCUUUUUAUAUAAUACAUAAUAUAAUUAAAAAUUUUAACAUUGAUUUAUAAUAAUAUAAUAUUACUAAUUACGAAAUUAAUUAAUAUAAUAUUUUAUAAAAAUAUUUAAGUUUUUUAAGUAAGAUUUUGUUAAAUUUUUUUCAACAGAUUUUGUUAUAAUUAAAAAAAAAUAUAGUUGAUUUAUUAUUAAUGUAAAUAA
rnacentral:lncRNA from 1 species